UACGUAGGGGGCAAGCGUUGUCCGGAUUUAUUGGGCGUAAAGAGCGUGUAGGCGGUUAGGUAGGUCCGUUGUGAAAACUCGAGGCUCAACCUCGAGACGCCGAUGGAAACCAUCUGACUAGAGUCCGGAAGAGGAGAGUGGAAUUCCUGGUGUAGCGGUGAAAUGCGCAGAUAUCGGAAGGAACACCAGUGGCGAAAGCGGCUUCCUGGUCCAGCACCGACGUCAGGCACGAAAGCGUGGGGAGCAAACAGGG
rnacentral:rRNA from 1 species